UACGAAGGGGGCUAGCGUUGUUCGGAUUCAUUGGGCGUAAAGGGUGCGUAGGUGGCGCCGUAAGUCAGGUGUGAAAUUUCGGAGCUUAACUCCGAAACUGCAUUUGAUACUGCGGUGCUUGAGGACUGGAGAGGAGACUGGAAUUUACGGUGUAGCAGUGAAAUGCGUAGAGAUCGUAAGGAAGACCAGUGGCGAAGGCGGGUCUCUGGACAGUUCCUGACACUGAGGCACGAAGGCCAGGGGAGCAAACGGG
rnacentral:rRNA from 1 species